CUCCUUUUCCAGCCUCCUCCGCCCGAGGCCUCCGUGGGCUUCCGGGGUCGGGGCCGCACGCCGGAGCCGCUCCGGGAGGCCGUGCGCCCCGGCCCGGGACCGGGGCGUUCGCUCUCGGCCGGAGGCGGGCCCGGGCUCCCGGAGAGGAGCGGCGGCGCCCGGCCCGGGCCUAGCACCGAGCGACCCCCGCCGCGCCCCGCCCCGGGCCCGCCGAGCCGCCUCCGCCCGCGCGCGCCCUCGACGGAGAGGCGCCCGGCCCGGCCCCACCGACGGCCCCGCUCGCUCCGCCGGGCGCGCGGCCAGUUUCCAUGAUGCGGACGCAGCCCGGGAGCCCCCGCCUGGGAUUGAUUAGCCCGCGGCCCGCGCUAAUGAGAGCCGGCUGCGCGCGGCCCGCGCCCCCCUGCCCCCGGACGCCGGCAGCCCCCGGCCGCAGGGCCCCUGCCCCGCCGACGCCGCUCUCCCCUCUGCUCUCGGAGGCCGACGCCAGAGGCCUCUGCCUUCGCUAAUCCCGCUCGCCGGGCCUCUGGGUGACAGCCCUGCCUCCAGGCGCUUCUGGCCAACAGUGUCCCUCCCCCAGCCUGGGCCACGAGCCCUGGGCACAAGCGACGUUCUCAGCUGUCUGGGCCUCCACAUCAGUUCCUGAAUCCCAACCUCUACGCCGCUGGGGGCCCCACUCACCACCAGAGCACACUCGGGUGUCCUCAUGCUCUCGCUCCCCUGCGGUCGCCCCUUUUCCCUCUCCAUCUAGAACCAGCCUGGAGCCACUUUCGUUUCCAGGCCACUCCAUCUCUUCGGAGUCCCGGUGGUCUAGCCUCUGCCUGCCCCUGCUAACUGGUCUGCACCCGAGCAGCGUUUCACUGGGAACUGCCCCAGCUCUCCAAAAGGUUCCCGGGCUCUUCUGGUUCGAGCCUGCUCCUGCCCCUCUCACCUGGCCGGUGUGGCUGAAUCUGUCUAGGUCCCCAGCCCCGUCUGAGCUCCGGCGCCAGGCAGGGCUCACCAGUUUCUGGUUUUUUCGCCGAUUCCCCUUUCCCACCUCAAGCUCCUCCAGAGCUCUGGGCUCUUGCUGCAGCUCCUGGCCGGGACUCCCCUCUUCUGCGCACCGUUGAGCCCAGAAGGCUCUUGGGGAUCGCUCUCUUUCUGGGGCCCUGGCCGGCCUUGAGGUCUGAGGCGCAAGGCUGGUUCCGACCUGCUCCUUCCUGGAGCCUUGUGCUCAGGGGAAUGUGUGUCCCAGCUGGCCCUCCAAUCCAGAGAAAUGGGUGUGAGGCUAUGUCUUCCUUCACUCCUCUCCUAUGCUCCACCCUGGGCCCUGGCUCAAGGGAAGGAGGGAGGGAUGGAGAGAAAGAACGCCUAAGCUCCCUGUGGCUCAGUUUCCCCAUCUUUACACGAACACACACAGCACCACAGAGCGUUCUCAAAGUUGCAGUGAGAGCACACGUGUUGAACACCUGGCGCAAAGUGCUUGCCAACAGCCUGCCUGGCCUCUCUCUGUGCGUGGCUUCAGGCACGGCUGGAGCUGUGAAGGGGUUGGUGAGGACAGGGCCCUUUCCCAGGUGUAACCCUGUGUCUGAUUCUCCCUGAGAGCUGCUGAGAGGGCGAGUGAAACCCCGGGUGAGGGCUGAAGAGGCAGGCAUUCCAAGGCCUCCCCUGCAAAGGGACCUCCCAGCCUGGUGGUUCCAUCCUGUCUCUGCAGAUGUGUGGCUGGCCGGUGGCCUUUGAGUGGGGACAGUGAUAAUCUCCAGGAGGUCUGGAUCUCACUCAUUCUGCCCUGGCCUCUGUGUGACCUGGAUGCCUGCCUUCCCUUCUGGACUGGGAGGAGCCUUCGUGGAGGAGGUACAAGCUGGAAAUGUGACACCAUCACCCCAGGCCAGCCUGGGGGAGGGCGCAGUGUGACACACACACACACACAGCCCCAACAUGCCCAGGGCCUGGAAUCUCUCAUCCUCACUUGAGGAUGGGUGCCAGGCCUCAUCCUCUUUGCUAAAGCUGAGGAAACCAGACUGUUUUUCUGGCUCCUACCGUGGCCUGAGUGAGUGCCUGCCUUCCUCCUGGCCUUCCGAAUGCUCGCCAUCUUGCCCACCUUCCAAGGAGCCCUCCAGAGGCUACACGGAAUACAAAGUCUUGGAGGCGGAGGGAGAGAGCGGUUGCCUAGUCUCGAGGUUUGAAAUCUCUCUUCCCUCCCCCACUGGCUGCAGAUGCAGAAGACCCAGGUUCCAGUUUGGUUUCCCAUCACCCACGUGAAGGCUCACAACUGUCUGUAACUCUAAUUCCCUGAUACUUUCUGACUUUGGACACUAGGCAUACACAUAAGUAGGAAUAAAUUUAUUUUUUAAAUCAA